rnacentral:lncRNA from 1 species
AGCAUCAGUGACAGUUAUACGUACAACUCUAGGUCCAACGUUGGCAGCAUUCAUCUCCGGACACUUUCUGCGGCCGGUAACAGUCGCCGGAACUGAAGGUUUAACCAUAGUGGUUUGCUUUCUGUGUUCAGUAUACUUAACUAUGGACACUUUCGCCGGCCGGUAACAGUCGCCGGAACUGAAGGUUUAACCAUAGUGGUUUGCUUUCUGUGUUCAGUAUACUUAACUCUACUAGACAACAUGGUUUGUUGGUCCAUUUUUAUGAGUGAUUUUUCUCAGAUUCGCAUUUGAAAAAAGGGAAAAAGAUUCUUGGAAUAAAGACUUAAAGAAGAGAAGGGGGAGACUCUUUUAAAAGCACAAGCUUUGUAUUAGUAACAGUUUUGGGGUAUGAAAAGUUUAACAACAAAAAUCUUCAAAAAUCGAUUGUGUUGGAAACCUCCCGUUUUAAGCACAGAAAGUUCAAGAAAAAGUAGCAGAAAAAAAAGUCAGAAUUUAUACUCUCUAAGAGCAAAAGAGUAGACGGUACAGUGAACAAAAAAAUGGGCUACGUCAGUGCUGCAUAACACAGAAGGUGUACUGAGGAGAAAAAAGAGGAAAUACACAGAAAAGUUUCAGAAGAAACAGAGACAGAAUCAAUCACUUGCUAUAUCGAGUAAAUGUUCUGAGGAAACUAGGAUUCUGUAGCAAUUUUCAGGUCGAUUUUCUAGUGAAAAUCUCGGGGAAAGUUGAAAGAGAGAGUAUGAUUUUGAACUGUGUUUAGCUUUUUAGAGAAAGUAGAGGAAGUGUGAAGUAGGAAGUCUAGUUUCAAUGGACACCGAAACAACUGG